CACAGGUCUAAAAGAGAGUUUCAUUGAAACUCUGACUUAAGAAAGGAAUUCUUACGUAUUGAAGGUUUAACGAGGAUUCUUUGUGAUAAUGACUAAAGGAGCAGAGGGAGAAUGCUCCAGUCACGCAGUGCCCACUAAUCACUGGGAUAAGGACUAUGCUGGGCAAGAACGCAGGCAUAAAUAGCGGGAAACGAAGACCCAGUGGAGCUACGACAUUCACACAGGCCUCAGAGCAUGUUAAUACUGUGACGUCACACUGUCCAUCCUUCAAGAGCAGGACAUUGCAGUCUCUUCUGCUUACUUAUCAAAG